rnacentral:snoRNA from 1 species
AGCCCGUGGUUAGGACAUCUCCUAAAUAAGGCUUUGUACCUCUCCCAAGCAUCAUAUAAGCUCUCGCCUUCACGCUGAACAAAGCUGAAGAUCUCAUCUCGAAU